UACGUAGGGGGCAAGCGUUGUCCGGAAUCAUUGGGCGUAAAGCGCGUGUAGGCGGUCCGAUUAGUCGGCUGUGAAAGUCAAGGGCUCAACCCUUGAAUGCCGGUCGAUACUGUCGGACUAGAGUCCGGAAGAGGCAAGUGGAAUUCCCGGUGUAGCGGUGAAAUGCGCAGAUAUCAGGAAGAACACCCGUGGCGAAGGCGGUUCUCUGGGACGGUACUGACGCUGAGACGCGAAAGCGUGGGGAGCGAACAGG
rnacentral:rRNA from 1 species